GUUAUUUAUGGAGAGGGCUUCAGCCAUUUUGAAAAAUCACUGGUUGAGACUCUAAGGAAGAGAGCUCCAAAGUAGAAAGGUUCCUGAACUUUAACCUACCCUCAGCCUGAGCCAGCAUCAGAAUAUGGAACAUCCCCUCUUUAAUGGCUCCUCCAGAGAAUUUGCAGGCUACAAGGGAAAACAUUUCUUGCUCAACUGUCAUUUAAGCCACCUAUUCACCUCACUGUCCCAUUCCCUGUUUUUCUAGCCUUGUUUAUCCUUCCCAAUAAACAAAAUUUUCUUUCUACCUUACCUUUGAAAGACUUGCAGAUCUCAUUCCCCCUAUUGCAAGAGUCACCUCCCCUUGUGGUAGUAAUCCUUUUGAAUAAAGUCUUU